rnacentral:tRNA from 1 species
UCUAUAGCUCAGUAGGUAGAGUGCAGCCUUGGUAAGGCUGAGGUCGCGGGUUCAAUUCCCGCUGG